rnacentral:rRNA from 1 species
GAUGAACGCUAGCGGCGGGCCUAAUACAUGCAAGUCGAACGGUGCAGCAAUGCAUAGUGGCAGACGGGUGCGUAACGCGUAUGCAACCUACCUUUUAUCGGGGGACAACAUUUCGAAAGAAGUGCUAAUACCGCGUAAGAUAGUAGUGGGACAUCCCACAGCUAUUAAACUUUCGGGGAUAGAAGAUGGGCAUGCGUCUGAUUAGCUAGUUGGCGGGGUAACGGCCCACCAAGGCGACGAUCAGUAGGGGAACUGAGAGGUUGAUCCCCCACACUGGCACUGAGAUACGGGCCAGACUCCUACGGGAGGCAGCAGUAGGGAAUAUUGGGCAAUGGACGGAAGUCUGACCCAGCCACGCCGCGUGCAGGAGGAAGGCGCUCUGCGUUGUAAACUGCUUUAGCAGGGGAAGAAAAGACUCAUGCGUGAGGAAUUGACGGUACCCUGAGAAUAAGCACCGGCUAACUACGUG